GCAUGGACUUGGAUUUAUGGGAGUCCGUCCCCAGUGGGCCUCUCAUAGUGCUCCAUGCCAGAGCAAACUGUGGCCCUGAACCAUUGCCUGGCUCCCACCAGUGGGCUGUGGGCACUGAAGCGGGCCCUACAGCA
ensembl:snoRNA